rnacentral:tRNA from 1 species
GGCUUUGUAGUGGAAACAAGACGCCAGGCUGCAAUUCUGGAGAUGUAAUAAUAUUACCUUAGCUU